CGUCAAUCAACGCGUCGAGGACGUAGUGUAGACACUUGCUACGUGUUUUGUUUUCAUUUCAUUUGUAACACUUUAAUACGACGUUUUAUGAAUUUAAAAUUUUAAUUAGUGCACGUGUCGUUAAUUUGCGAGAACGUAAAUUUUCAUUGUAACAUGAAACUCUUUAAAUUUCGUUCACGUUAUAAUUUACUUUUAUUUGCCGACUGGCUACUUCUGACCGUGUCCCAAAGGACGCGACGAAGUCUACCAUAUAUCAACAAGCCCGCUUUUAAUCUCAGUAAAAAAUCCACUGACAUUUGGACAAGAGGAGGCUCAAUUGAUUACAUUUCUAUGCAAAUUGACGACACCACGAGCGUACAGCAGUAUGGACGGCGGGAUAUACGAUAAAUUCUAUUACUUUCUUUUAUGGAAAUUCUAUUUUGUUUCAUUUUGUCAAUAAAACGUUAGUAUGGUUUUAAGCGUGCGCUUCUAUACAAAAAAUGUAUAUAUUCCUAAACUUUGAUAUGUUUGUUACAUUAUUAACAAAAAGAAAUUUUUAAA